rnacentral:snoRNA from 12 species
UUGCAGUGAUGACAAUCUUAGGACACCUUUGGAUUAACCAUGAAAAAAAAAAUAUUCUGAGCAAC